AACGAACGCUGGCGGCAUGCCUAACACAUGCAAGUCGAACGAGACCUUCUGGUCUAGUGGCGCACGGGUGCGUAACGCGUGGGAAUCUGCCCUUUGCUUCGGAAUAACAGUUAGAAAUGACUGCUAGUACCGGAUGAUGUCUUCGGACCAAAGAUUUAUCGGCAAAGGAUGAGGCCGCGUAGGAUUAGGUAGUUGGUGGGGUAAAGGCCUACCAAGCCGACGAUCCGUAGCUGGUCUGAGAGGAUGAUCAGCCACACUGGGACUGAGACACGGGCGAGACUCCUACGGGAGGCAGCAGUGGGGAAUAUUGGACAAUGGGCGAAAGGCUGAUCCAGCAAUGCCGCGGGAGUGAUGAAGGCCUUCGGGUCGUAACGCUCUUUUACCAGGGAGGAUAAUGACAGUACCUGGAGAAUAAGCUCCGGCUAACUCCGUGCCAGCAGCCGCCGUAAAAC
rnacentral:rRNA from 1 species